GACGAACGCUGGCGGCGUGCUUAACACAUGCAAGUCGAGCGGUAAGGCCCUUUCGGGGGUACACGAGCGGCGAACGGGUGAGUAACACGUGGGUGACCUGCCUUCUGGUACGGAACAACCAAGGGAAACUCUGGCUGAUACCGUAUACGACCUCCGGGUGAAAGAUUGAUCGCCGGAAGAGGGGCCCGCGUCCGAUUAGGUAGUUGGUGAGGUAACGGCUCACCAAGCCUGCGAUCGGUAGCUGGUCNGAGAGGAUGACCA
rnacentral:rRNA from 1 species